AAAAGUUAUUAGGCAAAAACUGAUUGAUGCCCUGAUGAUUGAUGAAAAUUUCACUUUUCAUAACAUCUGUGUUGUUUCACACACUUAUCAAACCACCGGACACCAUGCACAUCACAGCUCCAGUGGGACAUUGCAAGAUGACGUCAUAUGAGUAAAAAUGCUCGAAAAAAUGACAGUUCAGCGAGCUUGUUUACAUGGUGUUAGAAAAUUUUUGAUUCCACCCAGUACAAAAAACUUGGUUCGAAUCUAAGUCCAUGUAAACAAGCUCUGUGAACUGUCAGAAAAGUGAGGUUAUACAUUUUCGUGCAAUGGUCUUUAGUACGAUGCAAAAUGACCGAUAGCCGCGCACACCACAGCCAUUAAGGGAAGGGCCGCCCACAGACAACACAACAGCUGCCAGCGUACGACGUAUGAGCCACCAGAUACUGUGCACGUCACAGUCACCAGCAGCAUACACGAUGAAUCUCAUACAGCUGUGCACACCACAGUCACAGCGGAAAACACCUCAAUUGGAAUGGAAUGGAAACCUAUUUAAUUCUUUACUAAUAAAGGAUGAAACGCUGGUCGCCCUGUUGACCAAAUCAUUCGUUUCAUUCCUCACACCAGCCGCAAAGGUACGACGCCGAUGGUAAUAUCAGCAACAGCGGACACACCACGUUCGCGAAUCGUCUCGAUAGUUCGCGACGAAAGAGGAAGCAAAAAAAAUUAAAGGGUUGUGUACAGGACACGACCACGGUGACAUUAAAAAUGUAGCUUUUUCAAGAGCGUGCAAAUGAAUUUUAUUUAUCACACAUAUCGACUCACGUUCUUGUUCACUCGCCUGUUUUCAUAUGUUACAAUUUGCUAUAUACCCUCCCCAUUAAAACAUAAUUUAUUGAAGGUCUUUUAACGUUAAUCAGGUAUCUCACUAGAUGAUUGGCAUUAUUUGGCUGAUCCAUCUAGUAAAAAUAGGCUGGUCUGUCAGGAAAAUAUAUUCAAAAGAAAAGUUCCAUAUUGUGAGCUGUGAUGAGGAAGCCCACGCCCGCCAACGGAAAUAUACAGAUUCUCCAUGAAAUAUGAAAUUUCAUUUUCCAUUUAAAUUUUCAAUAAUGUACUAAUGAACUUAAGUAAACAAUCUUAAGGUUAAGUAUUUCUUGAUCGAUUAGUGGUGGAAAAAAUGAAAUUAUUUGAUAAAUUACAUUGUUAUGCAACGUUCGCACUACCAGUUAAAAUCUUGGUGACAUUUUUCUUGUUACUAAUUAUUAAAACGUGUUAUAACUCUGUAGUGUAAACAUUGUAUUAUUAAACCAAUUCUGCAGCAUUUUAUGUUAUAUAGGUGUUUUAUGUGGUAAUAGGACUGACAUAAUUAUAUCUUCAGUACAGCGGUUUGUUUCAUAAUUUAAAACAGAUUUCUUUUAAAAUUUAAAUUAGUAUACCCAACCGUUCUAUUUGUUGUAUACUUUAAAACGCUAUUAGAACUGUGUUUUAAAUACAUAGGGUAGGACAGAUAUUCUGACUGGAUAAACUGGGAAACAAUUUUAAGUCCAGUAACGCUUAAGACAUGGCUUGAAUUUGAAUCGAAAAAGAACACCCGCUUAAACUGCUGCUGGGACGGUAAGUUCUGUUUUAAAAUUUUCCGUUGAGUGCAGUACGAAACAAAAGUGUUUGAAAUUAGAGAACAAAAGGGGAAGGUGAUUGUUUCCGAUGCAAUUACACUCAGAUUUUUCACGCACACUGAACCAAGAUAUCUCAUACAAAUUAUUAGAAAUAUCACAUAGCUCAACUCUGAUGACUAUCGUAUUAAUACUAUGUGUACCCAUUAAAAGUUAUGUGCCAAACACAUACACUUCAUUAUGACACACAUAUAAUAAUCUAUUGUCCAUAUGAUACAUUGUAUGUGAAUGAAAGUUAUUAGUGUUAUCUGAUCAAUGAUAUAUGAUUUGCAGAUAUGAAAAAAAGAUUUCAAAAUGGUGAAUAUUUGUGAUCAAUUGCUGAUCGAUUUAGGUUACUUGGUGGAAUAAAUACAAUGUAAGUUUGUCGUUUAAUAAUAAACUCAUCAACAAUGUGAAUAAUCCCAUUCAUCUGGUUUUAUAUUUAUAGAAGUGGACUCUUCUUCAAGCCUCUAACUUGUUCAACGAAAAGUAGUUUUUCCAUGCUGACGUCUGAAGCACACGGAAUGAUUUUUGGGAUACAGUGAAAGUAAUUAAAUUUUUUUCCACGUUUGUUGUAAAUAAGUUAUAACAAAACCUGUUGCAAUGAAGAUAUAGCUUGUACCAAAACAAGAAAAUCAUCUUUAUAUAUUGUAAUAUCACAUGACCCUCACAAUCAAUGGUUCUCAUAAGAAUGCCACAUAAAAUGUAUUACCUAAAACCAAUAGCCGUAAAUGGCAAUUCAUAUAAAAUGUAUGUGAUUAUUCCAAUGAAUGUAAUCAAAACCGUCUCUCGAAUGUUUAUGUAUUUCGCACAUAGAAUUUAUGUGAAAAGCCGCAUGGAAAAUAAUUAUAUAUGUUUUCAGAUAAAUUUUAUGCGAUUUUAGGUUCAAUGCAGGGGAUACAGGCCGUGUAAAUGAAAACCGCGCAAAUUUAAAAAAAAAACGAGUUAAUGAAAACCGCGUAAAUUUCAAAAUUCGCGUAAAAAACCUGAGUGUACUCUCCUAUAUAAAAUACUACGUUGCUGAACAGUGCAAUAACUACAGAAGCACGUUGUCAGAUGACUUACUGAUAAAAACAUAUAACCGAAAUAUGAAACAUGAAAACCAAUAGGCUCUUUACCCUACGCAGCUACAAAGCGCCGUAAACAUGGAUUAACAAGUUACAACGCACACGCAUGCAUAAAAAUAAAUAUAUUUUUUUUCAAACGCAACACUCUUAAGCAGCACACACCGUAUUGAAUUAAAUCCAAACCACCCCGCCCACCCACUUUGCAAAUCAUUCUGUGACACCGUGCUGGUACCCGAAAAAUCCGCACACGGCCACCGCUGCCGAAAAUGCAUAGCGUCUACCGCUUAUUGUAGUGCCCACACGCUGCAGCCAUGAUCUUACCCGUUCGACAUAAGAACAAAAACUGAUUCAAACGGGUACGCGUCACCUCUAUUCAUAAACUAACCGUAUAUGAUUUAGUCACUUAGGUGCGAGUGUGUGCAAAUGCCAACGUUACCGAGAAUCGAUAGCGCUUAUUGCAUCGCCCGGAGACGAUGUUGCUCGUAUGGGAUAAGAACAACAACUGAUUUAAACGGACAUGCGUUGCUUCUAUUUAUGACUUUUCGUGUUUCAUUGAGCAACUAAGCUGCCCUCUACUGACGGCUGUGUCUGAGAAAUCUGCCUCACGAAUGGUAAUUUUCCCGUUUUUCGUGAACUUUUUAAUUUUACCAAUUUCCAAAAGUCUACUUUUAUUGGGGAGAUAUUAAAUUAUUACCAAUAUUUAAGUUAGGUGUUUCUGAAUCGGUUGGUGUAUGAAUGAUUAAAAUCCAUCUAGUAAUAUCGGAGUUAUAAGCGUGCAAACCUUACAUAGUUCCGUUACAUGGGAGAUAGUUUAGGUUUUAGAAUGACACCUAGCCCCAGAUAGUGGAGUAAGACAUUUUAAUGUCAAAAAACAGCACGCUCGCUGGGUGGGGUGGGGCUCUCUCAACGACCGAUGCUGAGUGAGACACGCUCCCAUAAGCUACCUCUGGUCGCCGUGUUGGCAAGGCUGGCUCUACUCUGCUGCUCGAUGGGUUUUCUCUCUCGCGAAUGAAAUAUUAUUUUCUCUUUGGCUUUUUUUCCAUACGUUUAUUUGACACAGCAUUUGCAAAAGCUUUUUACGCCAGUUUCUUUUUUUGCAUAGCACAUUACAAAAAUACUUAAGACUAAUUUUAACUAUACUAGUAAUUUGUCUAAAACUAACAUUGAAAUCACUUUAUUGCAUGCUUUUUUCCUUACAUUGUUGUAUUUCAUAAUGAUCUAGUAUUUUCGGGUGUAUUUAUUUACUUUUUUUCUGUUAUUGUCUAAAUUUAAAAACUGAAUAUUCUAGGACACUUUAAUUGGUGAAUGAUUAGCCUUGGAUGAGAGUAUGAGGAGAUGAAUUAAAUUAAAUUUUAACAGACACUGUUUUUAAAAAAUGAUAGAUAAGUUCCAUGUAUAGAGGAUCGCGAUACGCCAGGAUGUCUCUAACAGGAACAUGGAUUGGUCUUCCUCGGACUUGUAAAGAAUUUACUAAUUGUGAUCUGGCUUCACGAUAUUCAGUGCAGGACCAAACAACAUGCUCUAUGUCAUGGUAACCCUCUCCACAAGCACAAUGAUUACCCUCAGCGAGCCCAAUACGAUGGAGAUGCGCAUCUAAAAUAUAAUGAUUGGACAUGAGCCUAGACAUCACACGGAUGAAGUCCCGACUUACAUCCAAUCCUUUGAACCAUGCCUUCGUUGAUACUUUAGGGAUAAUUGAGUGUAGCCAUCGUCCCAUAUCUCCAUUGUCCCAAGAUGUUUGCCAACUAGCAAGUGUCCUCUGUCGAGAAGCGCUAUAAAAUUCAUUGUAAGCGAUGGGUCUUUCAUAUAUUUCACCAUCUAGUGCACCAAAUCUUUGGCUUUUAUUUCCGAUGUUUACUUGUUAAUGGUACAAAACAGAAUGAAUCUGGAAUCGUAUCUCGCGGGUUUAUAUUAUGGCUCGUUCACUGCUCUAGCCAAUCAGCGCACGCCACUAUGACGCCCAAUUAGCGUACAGCAUCAAUGCUACUGACGGGAGAAUUGUAUACAAAAUCUUUAACUUUCUCUUAUUAUGCACAAAAGAAGCCUCAAUUUAUCCCUUAAAACUCUUGCAAAGUGGCCAAACAGUAUAGAUAAAGAUUUAGAUAAAUUAAGAGAAGAUCAAAACCAAAUUGCGUAUAAUUGGACAACCAACAGCAGUGGUGCUAGAAAAAAUGAAUAUUUUAUCAAUCGUCAGACCAUCAAUCGGUUUCUGCUUAAUAACUUUUUUCUCAAGCGUCAGAUCUAUUCGUGGUUUUCGAGACAUUGUUUCUUUGUUAAAUUGCCUAUAAAAGCCACACAACGAUUUAUUUUUAGGAAGCAAUGGGCGACUCCUGGUGGAAUUAUUUUGCAAAAGUUAAUUUUCCCAUACAAAAUCCAAUGUAAACUUUAAACAGCUGGCGCAAAAAUAUAGUUUCAGGGAUUGAGCUAAGAAUUUGCACAGUUGUUCUAGGACCCAAAUAGUACCUGAAAAGUUGCUCGGAGCUGGAUUCUUUUUUUUGUCCCACCCUAAUAUGCAUGUGUAGACAGUAUUGACUAAAGUAUUGUACGUGUAAUGGAAAAAAAAGUUGUAUUGACGAUGUACAUUUCAUAUGGGAUUGACAUAUUGAAGCAAUAUCGUCAAUACUCGUAUUGACAAAAAUAUUGAACGUGUAAAGGCCGCUAUAAAGGUAAAUGAGUAAAUUACACUACCUUGCUUCCGUAUUCUAAAUCAUAAUUAUUCAUUUACUGCUAGGUAUUGAUUAAAUCGGUCGAAUAGACAUCAUGUAACGGUCCAAAGUGGACACUACGUUUCUACGAUUCCAAUGUACUGUCGUGAUAUGCAGAACAGUACCACAUGCAUAGGAAACUUAUAGCAAAUGGGACUGUUAUGCGGAUCACGGCAGUGUGGUCGUAUCGGCAAAUCAUCCAGAUGCUUAGUAUUACGAAGCUGCUGAUCAUUUUUUACAAAAAUCCGCCAAUUUUCAAAACCUACCGGAUCUUUCAAUGUCACGAUAGUGUUUCCGGGGUGAGUUUCAGCAUAUGUUGAGCAUGAGAUAGAGCCAACUCGUCACGAUUACGCAGCACUCGAAUAAUAAAAAGCAAAGCGGAAAUCGACAUUACGCUCCUGACCGACUUGCAUUACUACAUGUGCAUUCGCCUGGGUAUUCCAUGUAUCAGUCUGCUAUUGAAGUACUUCGUUUUACGAUAACCACUAAGAAAAAUCUAGGCCAAUCCAAUCUGAUUCCUUAGGUGUUGAACAUGAUCAUAGCAUUCGGUAGUUUAUUCGUUUUCGUGACGCUCAUUCAGGACUUUUUUUGGGUAGGAUUGUUUGAGCCUGAUCUCCAUGAUAGUCCACGCUGGACACUAAUCCAGGCACAUUAACCUGCCCAGAAACUGGUAUCAUCCGACCAUCGUACUACUGCAAAAUAAAAAUUGCAAACUCGUUCGAGUCCUAAUGCUUUCCGAGUUUCAAAGUCGUCUUUUUAUAUCGUUGCAUUGAUGCCUUGUGCGAGACAAAUCGUCCAAAUAAAGUCGGUUUUGGUUCUGCUUAGCCGUGGAUUAGUUGGCUGACCUAGCACAAAGUAUGGAAAUUGUACAACACUAGGAAGAAUACGUCCAGCAACGGAGCCAUAAGCCAAUUGUUAGUGGUCGAAAAGGGCACGUGUUACUCCGGAACUCGAGCUGGUGAAUCACUAAUAAUCUAAUUGCACAAUUAUUUCGAGGAAAUGAAGCACAUUAACAGCAGCCGAUACACCUCGUUCGCCUUUUCUAGUGGAGGAAUCGCUGGCAGCGGCGGUGCCCGAAGGUAACUGAGCAGUGGAAAUUUGAGCCGAACACUGAGUAGUCCGAUGGCAGAGUCAACACAGCUGGACAGCAGCGGUAUCCGGGGGAAUCUACGGCAGUCCGGUACGACAGGUGGGAGUUGUGAAAAGGAAGCCUACCUCUCCGUUGCAAAAUAGCAGGACAAACUUCAGAAGCAGCGAAAAUCUAACGGCGUCCCUGAAUGAAUCGAUUGAUUGAUCCUAAGAUUUGCACAGAUGCUCAGAGUCGAGGAUUGGUUAACCGGUUGUAACAGUACGACGACAAAACGCAAUCGUCGUUAAACAGGAGUCAAUCGAUGACUAGCCUGUACUCGAAGCCGAUUCAAUUUCCUGUGGUUCACUUGAAGAAGACAGAAAUGAAAUAUUCGCCGAGGGGAAACAAUUCUUCGAUAACAUCGGUUCGGAUAGCCCCACCCGAGAAGUCCGUGUUUCAGGCUAACACAAGGUCGAACAUUUUACGGACGGGAUCGUUACUCAUUUCGGUGGAACAUCAUCUGAAGAUGGCCCGAACACAUCAGGACGAGGAUGAGACUGAUGCGGAAAAUCGUGUGAUUGCGCCUUCGACAGAACUGGAAGUGGCCCCAACACGAAAUGUUCUUUAUGCGCAGAAGGGAAUAUCACGCAAAAGGAUAAGCGACGAGGAACUGGAUGACGAUCGGAUUAAGAAACAAUAUAAGGAACUAUCAGAGGUUGAUUCAGGCGGAGCUGGCACGAAGCGAGCUCGGGAAAUUGAAUCGUCGGUUUUCCCCGUCCGCGGAUCAGCAGCUGCAGACGAAGAGAAAAUGUAAUAAAAACAAUAUCUCAAGUUCACUUAGCUAGAGCCUGGUAAUGAACACUCCGAAACGAUUGGAACACGACCGGCACGAUUAAAAUAAGUCUCUCGACGUCGCCAACAUUAAAUGCGACGGUUCCAGUUAGCAUGAUUGAAUCGAGCAAACCGGCAAAAUUAAGUAGGACUGAUUCGGCUCCUUUACCACAGAUUACGAGAAUUGUUCCGGAGUUUCAACCGCCUAUGGUUGAACUUCCGCAACCAAAGCUAACGUUGUUUAACAAGAAAUAUGACGAAACAGUGGUCCGACCCGCGUCCACGGACAGCGAAGCUAAAUCGCCUAUUAUGAGCAGUGACAAGGUUGCUCUAAAUUGUUCUAAAUUAUCGUUGAUUCUGAGCUGCUUGAGUGAUGAUUUUGAUAAUCUU